AUGUCAUGCCCAUGCCUCUCUCUCUUUUCCCUCACCACCACGCACUCGCUUUUGCCCUCCGACAACCGUCUUCUCUGCCGUGACGGCGGAGCAUCCAUCCGCGCCACCGGUGAGGAUGGUGGCAGUGUGUCAUUAAUAAUUCCUUUUACCAGGCAGAGAUUGAAAUGGGUUGAUGAAGGGUAUGAACUUCUUGUAUUUACAGAUGAAUGUAUCAUAUCUAAUGGACAAAUGACCAUAAAACUCCAGAGAGAAUUACUGAAUGCUGAUAUAUUCGUGAUUGUUGCUGUUACAAACAAGGAAUCCGUUGAGUGGAUUAAUAACAACUGCAAAACUAUUGAAAAUGUAAUAUGCCUUGACUCUUCACCAGAUUUGAAAAACAAAUUAGGAGGCUAUGAUGUUCCCAGUGAAGUAAGAGGAAGUAUAUUUGGAAAUUUUUUUGGAAAGUCUCAAUCUGAUAAAGCUAAAGAAUCAUAUGAAGUAGUGCAAACAGUAUCUGAAGCAUGGGAUCGACAUAAUUCUGAUGAUAUAAGGUUCUGUUUGCUGGUACUAAUCAAUGCUUAUAUAAGGCCGGUUCCAGUGUUGAAGAACUUGGGAGCUAAAGGUUUUUCCACCCUAAACUGUAUGUUGAAGAACUGUGGUCGUCAGGUACUUAAUUGCUUGUUGGAUCCCAAUUGUAGGAAAGCUCUUCAAUGCUUGAAUAAGUGUAGUCCUGUUGAUCAAGUUUGUAACUACUGAUGUAUUGCUUCAUAUGAAAGUACAAAUCUAGAAGCCUUUUCACUAUGUGUAUUACUGAAAAACAACUGUCUUGAGUUGAAAGCAGAAAUCCCUGACAAGCCAUAUGUGCCUCCAAUGAUUGAGUUCCAGGGGCAGAACUGAAGUCAUGAAAUGGCAGAAGAUUUGUUUGUUGGAUGGUUGGAGAGUUUCAAAGGGAGCUGGCGUGUUGUAGCAGGGCAGAACCCGGCAUAUGAUCAAUUUCCAUGCCAAUACCAGUUUUUCUAUAGGGGAAAAGCAAAAGGGUCAUUUUGGUAUGAGCCCGUAUUCCAGGUAAAAACAUUGGAAGGCCAAUUGGUCUGGAGUAGGAGGAAAUAUAGGGUCAGAAGAGGUAAGGUACCUGGCACAUUCUAUUUUAGUGUAUUAGAUAACGGAGUUGUUUCAAAUGAGUUUUGGACAAUUGUGGAUGUAUCUGAUAAUCUUAGUUGGGGUUUGUUCUAUUAUCACGGUGCUGCUAGAGUUGCAGGGCAAUCUUAUACUGGGGCAGUACUUGUUAGUCCAGAUGGAGCAUUUCCAAAUGACACAGAGAGGACUAAGAUAGUUGCUGCACUAGACAAAUGUGAAAUUAAAGAGUGGGAAGUAUAUUCUGUUGACAAUUGUUCAUGCAUAGAUCCACCCCUGGGAAGUUUACAUACCAUAGUCCAAAUUGCAGAUCCAAAGUACAUGCCUAUCUGAUUAUUACCAGAAUUAUUAAUAGUCUCAAUCCGGUUACGUUCAGCACGUCUCCAGUAUAUACAUUCAAAGAAAGUUGAUUGGUUCUUUUGUCGAUGUCAAUUUUCGUAUUUGUUGGGGGAUCGAUAACAAGUAAAAUUUUCUCAAGGCUCCAUCAGCGACUUACGAUAGUGUUUUAAAACAAAUUUUAUCUAAAAAAAAUUUUCGUAUUAGUUUAAUUAAUUUAUUCUCUCUCGAAUCUACUGUUGACUGUGGAUUGAGUCAAUUAGAUCAGUAGGUCAAUUCAAUCCUCUUUACACCCCCCCCCCCCCCCCCCAAAUUAUCAUUCGUAUUAACACUUUAUACUAUGCAAUUUCAAUUUUCAAGUGUAACACCUUACAAUAAUAUCGUAUAAGAUAUACUUUCUUGCAAAAAUGCAUAUAUAGUAAUGAUGUAGUUGUCCACAAAAGGAGAAAAAACUGGAAAUUGUGGUCAUCUUAUCCUCUUGAGCUGCCAAAGAAAAAGCUGGUAAAAUUGAUAUAUUUCUCUGCAGCCGUCACAUUGAUACUAAUGCCGUCAUAUUGUCCACUAAUUCCCAUGAAACAUGAAAAA